AGAGAAAAAAAUAUCUGACAGGUGAUGAAUUUUUGUUGACAACAUUUUCAUUCCAAAUUUCAAUUGAAGCAGAGUUGAGGUCCUGCCGGUGUUCAGAGGUGGAAUCGACACGCUGACCAUGGAGAUGGUCCGACAGAUUAAGAUUCAUUAAGUGGAAUCAGCUGAGCCGAAGUUUUGCUAGGGCUUCUCUUGUAUGUGGAUUGGAAAUCUGCUACAAAACAUAGAUCGGACUAGGCUUGACCACGGCAUCAAAAAUGGGCCCAGGAGUUAGUGUCGGCGAUCUAUCUGGGAAGUCAAGAAGGUUUCAUCCUGACCCUAACGCCGAUUUUAACCCGCACCAAACCAGGUUUUCUAACAGAUUGUGACUGUGGAUCGUCAGGAGUGCAAGUGCAUCAAGUUCUUAUUGUCGUGUUGUGAAUAAAAAAGUUUAUCUCGAGUA